AGUUACAGUCUUAAAUUAAAACUCUAGACUUCUACUAGAACUCCUUCUGUUCUUUAAUACUGGACAGGUAACUGUAAUACUGGUGUUGUCUCUCAGUAACACUCAGAGAUCCUCAGAAUAUUUUAUUUAAGAGUGGUUGGGGAGCAUGUGUGUGGGCUUUUUGUUUGGGUUUUUUUCUUUUCUUUUUUAAACAUAGUUCCAGCACAGGAAACACAAGCUUUAUCCCUUCAGGUCAGCAUUCCAGUGAAAAGUUAGCUUUUAAAGGUAUGAGAAAGAUGAGGCAAAUACCAGAAAGAGAACAAGCACAACUUUGCAUCUGUUUAUCAGCUUCAUUGUGGACGUUAUUCCAAAAUAAAGAAUACUGCUACUGAACUAUACUGUAUGCACCUUUAAUACUGUAUGUAGCUCAUGCCUAGGAAUACUUCAGAAGUAUUACAAUCCUAAACCCACUGCACACCUUGUUCCACUCUGUAUGGGAAAGUAACAACUUUAACCACUGCAAUAUUUACCUAUGCUAAUAGAUCCAUCAGCUCUUACAUUAGAAGAAUGUUAUCCAUGGUACUGCUGUCCCAUAAAGAGAAGAUAUUAGAGGCAGGCAGCAAAGCAGAGCCACCAGGUUCUGCUAGUUUCAACACUGUCUCUGCACAGCUCCGAUGAGGAGAAUGGAGGCAGCAGCUGGGAAUACACCAAGAACCAAACUGAGGAAGCUACAGCAUCUUGAUCUGCUGCUGGUCCCUAAACGUGCAUAUGCAAUACAGCACAGCUUUUGUCUCUUGGACAUACUCUGGCUUGGAGUACUGAGUACCGAGUGGUUGGUUUGUAGCCUCCCUAGGAGGGAAGGGUCAAGAUUCAGUGUUUUAUAACCAGUUCCUCAGUGCAAGUUUGCUGCAUGACUUCAAUUGGAGCACAAGUUACCGCUCCUGCUUAACUGUUAAGAAUGGGAUCACCCUGGUUCCUGUUGAUACAUGCUCACGAUCUGGACUCCAGGACUAAAGCAGGACUGAGGGACACAUCUUGUGAGGCAACGCAAGUGGUAAGAAGCUGGAUCAUAUGUCUUUGUCUCCUCGCUGCCUUCCCAGGAUUUGAAAGUGUGACAAAGUAUUUCAUCCUUUUACAGGAUUAGGGAUGCGGAUUUGCCUCUCACUGAGGUGCUGCUGGCUGGUUCACUGCCUGCUAGAGGGUGUCUCUAAGACCUGGUUUAACCUGAAGCAUACACUUUCUCAGGAGAUCUGCAGCAGGGCUGAAGAACUGAAAAUGUUGCAUCCUCUCCCUCCUGUCAUGUGCGUCCACACGACUGCAGUGCCUGUGCUGUGCUCUUAGCUCACUCACCCUGAGACACUUCCUGUGAUGGAGGUUUGUACUGAGCUGGUACAGAGCGGACUUUGCUUUUGGUGGCAGUAUCCCUUGUUGCUGUGUUGUUCACAAAGAAGAUGGGUUUAUCCUUCCCUUCAUUCCACUGGGACCAGCUGCUCUACACACAGCAACCAUAAGUGGCAAAUCUUCUAUAUCCUCUCGUAAUUUUCAAUUGAAGGUCUAUAUCACAUGAA